AACGAACGCUGGCGGCAGGCUUAACACAUGCAAGUCGAGCGCCCCGCAAGGGGAGCGGCAGACGGGUGAGUAACGCGUGGGAAUCUACCCAUCCCUACGGGAUAACACAGAGAAAUUUGUGCUAAUACCGUAUACGUCCUUCGGGAGAAAGAUUGAUCGGGGAUGGAUGAGCCCGCGUCGGAUUAGCUAGUUGGUGGGGUAAUGGCCUACCAAGGCGACGAUCCGUAGCUGGUCUGAGAGGAUGACCAGCCACAUUGGGACUGAGACACGGCCCAAACUCCGACGGGAGGCAGCAGUGGGGAAUAUUGGACAAUGGGCGCAAGCCUGGUCCAGCCAUGCCGCGUGAGUGAUGACGGCCUUAGGGUUGUAAAGCUCUUUCACCCACGACGAUAAUGACGGUAGUGGGAGAAGAAGCCCCGGCUAACUUCGUGCCAGCCGCCGCAGUAAAAC
rnacentral:rRNA from 1 species